rnacentral:rRNA from 1 species
UACGUAGGGUCCGAGCGUUGUCCGGAAUUACUGGGCGUAAAGAGCUCGUAGGUGGUUUGUCGCGUUGUUCGUGAAAACUCACAGCUCAACUGUGGGCGUGCGGGCGAUACGGGCAGACUGGAGUACUGCAGGGGAGACUGGAAUUCCUGGUGUAGCGGUGAAAUGCGCAGAUAUCAGGAGGAACACCGGUGGCGAAGGCGGGUCUCUGGGCCGAUACUGACGCUGGAGGAGCGGAAAGCCGUGGGGAGCAAACAGG